AACCCCUGGAACCUGUGGAUAUGCUACCUGACAUGCAAAGGGGACUCUGCAGGUGUGAUUAAGAUGAGAAAACUGAGGCCCAGUGAGAUGAAGACAUCCUGUGAGAGCCAGGGCAGGGAUAGGAAUCUGGGCGACUCCAAGCCGUCCUCAGCCAUCACUGAUCAGCAUUGCCAGAUGCCAGGACCAGAGCCAUGAGCCAGACAGUCAAAGCUACAGCCCCGGUGAGGCGCCCAUCUUCACAGGGGAUAGACAGGAGACAGGUAAACAGGUAACCAUCAUGUCAGGUGCGUGCUGUAAGGAAAACAAAAGCAGG